rnacentral:rRNA from 1 species
UACGUAGGGGGCAAGCGUUGUCCGGAUUUAUUGGGCGUAAAGAGCGUGUAGGCGGCUAGGUAGGUCUGCUGUGAAAACUCGAGGCUCAACCUCGAGAUGUCGGCGGAAACCAUCUGGCUAGAGUCCGGAAGAGGAGAAUGGAAUUCCCGGUGUAGCGGUGAAAUGCGCAGAUAUCGGGAAGAACACCCGUGGCGAAGGCGGUUCUCUGGGACGGUACUGACGCUGAGACGCGAAAGCGUGGGGAGCGAACAGG